rnacentral:rRNA from 1 species
UACAGAGGUCUCAAGCGUUGUUCGGAUUCAUUGGGCGUAAAGGGUGCGUAGGUGGCGCUGUAAGUCGGGUGUGAAAUCCUGGGGCUUAACCCCGGAACUGCAUUCGAUACUGCAGUGCUUGAGGACUGGAGAGGAGACUGGAAUUCAUGGUGUAGCAGUGAAAUGCGUAGAGAUCAUGAGGAAGACCAGUGGCGAAGGCGGGUCUCUGGACAGUUCCGUGACGUUGAGGCACGAAGGCCAGGGGAGCAAACGGG